UAUGCUUGCUGAUCAACAACCCAGUCAGUGUGGGAGAUGUCUGCUAAGCGUUGUGUUCUCAACUUGUCUGGAAAGCUCUUCGCUAUUUACCAGGAAAUCGCUGUCUAAAGAGGCGACCGAUUGCACACGGCACUCCUUCCUUUGCCAAGAAGAAGAAUCCUCGUCGACACAAACCCAGGACUGUAACUAUGCCAGGUAGUGACCAGCGCCGAUAUGGGUUCUUCACGUGCCCAACCUGCAAACGCGGAUGGGAGAGCUCAUGGGCUUGGUGUUACAAGGGAACUGAUAUUCCUUCCUCCGGUCAAGAGUGUAAGACUUGCCUUGUCAUGGUCAAACCGCACACGGUAGAGAAGCUGAAGUGUUCAUUGUGUGACCAACCCACCAACCUGUGUGACUGCGAACAGGACGAUUUGGACGAGCACCACAGUGACCUGAACAAGCCUCACCGCAGUGACCUGUGCGAAAAGUGCAAGAGAGGACAGCGUUGCGGCUACCGUAGAUAAUUAAUUCCCCAAUUAAACGAUUGAAAAUUAAGUUUGAUGUGGAUUCUAACGACCAAUUACCGGAAUGAAGAUUCACAGUGAGAUUGUAUCAUCUGGGUACGAGGCUGACGUAACCUCAUAGCAAGGGUCCAAUUUCAUAAAGCUGAUUAAGCACAAAGAAAUAGUUAUGCACACUAAAAUUAUGCUUACAGAAUAAGGAAACCAGCUAAAAUUACCAUUACGAUUGUGACUGGUAUCCCUGCUCAUUUAUGCUAAGCAGAAAACUAUUAAGCAUUGUUUACUGCUUUAAGGAACAUUACAGAUUUGGUAUGAAAAAAACUCGUCUAUAUAAGAUCACAGAUUUACCUAAAACUUACGAGGUCUAAUGGUGUGAUAGUAGAAAGCAUCCCUUGAAAUAUUUUUGUCUUAAAUGUCAUUAUUUGACGAGAACAAAAUUAAGCUAAUUUCACGAUUGGUGUUUACAAAUCCUAAACCGGCUCGCAAUUUGUUUUAUGCACUACGAAAUUGCCAUCGUCGUAGUGCUUUUUAAUGGAGAAUUUUUGUUUUUUAAAUCGAUUAAAAAAAGGGAAUCCUUUAAACAAACAAAAACAUCGGGAAAAUUUGUGAGCAUGGCAAUUUAAAUUUGCAGAAAAAAACCUUGGAUAAAAGGAGGACUCGUUGUACGAAUCCUAUAAGGGGGUUAUAGUUCCCUAAUAUGAUUUCAUUGUAAAUAAUUGUUCAGCACGUACAUAAAAGCUUGAUAUGGGAUAUGUUA